UACGUAGGGUCCGAGCGUUGUCCGGAAUUAUUGGGCGUAAAGAGCUCGUAGGCGGUCUGUCGCGUCUGCUGUGAAAUCCCGAGGCUCAACCUCGGGCUUGCAGUGGGUACGGGCAGGCUAGAGUGCGGUAGGGGAGAAUGGAACUCCUGGUGUAGCGGUGGAAUGCGCAGAUAUCAGGAGGAACACCGAUGGCGAAGGCAGAUCUCUGGGCCGUAACUGACGCUGAGGAGCGAAAGCGUGGGGAGCGAACAGG
rnacentral:rRNA from 1 species